GGAGAGGUGGCAGAGCGGUUGAAUGUACCUGACUCGAAAUCAGGCAGGGGUUUAUAGCCCCUCGGGGGUUCGAAUCCCCCCCUCUCCGCCA
rnacentral:tRNA from 2 species